rnacentral:rRNA from 1 species
AAUAGAUACCCCGGUAGUCCACGCUGUAAACGUUGGGCGCUAGGUGUGGGGGGCCUCUCCGGUUCUCUGUGCCGCAGCUAACGCAUUAAGCGCCCCGCCUGGGGAGUACGGCCGCAAGGCUAAAACUCAAGGGAAUUGACGGGGGCCCGCACAAGCGGCGGAGCAUGCGGAUUAAUUCGAUGCAACGCGAAGAACCUUACCUGGGCUUGACAUGGCCGCAAAACUGUCAGAGAUGGCAGGUCCUUGGGGCGGUCGACAGGUGGUGCAUGGCUGUCGUCAGCUCGUGUCGUGAGAUGUUGGGUUAAGUCCCGCAACGAGCGCAACCCUCGUUCCAUGUUGCCAGCGGGUUAUGCCGGGGACGUCAUGGAAGACUGUCGGGGUCGAACUCGGAGGAAGGUGGGGAGUGACGUCAAGUCAUCAUGCCCCUUAUGUCCAGGGCUUCACGCAUGCUACAAUGGCCGGUACAAACCGUUGCGAGCCCGUGAGGGGAGCGGAAUCGGAAAAAGCCGGUCUCAGUUCGGAUCGGGGUCUGCAACUCGACCCCGUG